rnacentral:rRNA from 1 species
CAGCCAGACUCCUACGGGAGGCAGCAGUGAGGAAUAUUGGUCAAUGGGCGGGAGCCUGAACCAGCCAAGUCGCGUGAGGGAAGACGGUCCUAUGGAUUGUAAACCUCUUUAGGCGGGGAGCAAUGCCGGGCACGCGUGCCCGGAGGGAGAGUACCCGCAGAAUAAGCAUCGGCUAACUCCGUGCCAGCAGCCGCGGUAAUACGUAUGGUGCAAGCGUUAUCCGGAUUUACUGGGUGUAAAGGGAGCGCAGGCGGCGCGUUAAGCCUGGUGUGAAAGCCCGCGGCCCAACCGCGGGACUGCAUUGGGAACUGGCGCGCUGGAGUGCCGGAGGGGUAGGCGGAAUUCCUAGUGUAGCGGUGAAAUGCGUAGAUAUUAGGAGGAACACCAGUGGCGAAGGCGGCCUACUGGACGGUGACUGACGCUGAGGCUCGAAAGCGUGGGGAGCAAACAGGAUUAGAUACCCGCGUAUCG